UACGUAGGGGGCAAGCGUUGUCCGGAAUCAUUGGGCGUAAAGCGCGUGUAGGCGGCCCGGUAAGUCCGCUGUGAAAGUCGGGGGCUCAACCCUCGAAUGCCGGUGGAUACUGUCGGGCUAGAGUGCGGGAGAGGCGAGUGGAAUUCCUGGUGUAGCGGUGAAAUGCGCAGAUAUCAGGAGGAACACCGGUGGCGAAGGCGGGUCUCUGGGCCGAUACUGACGCUGAGGAGCGAAAGCGUGGGGAGCAAACAGG
rnacentral:rRNA from 1 species